GACAGAGGCCUCGAGCGUUAGGCGGAAUCACUGGGCUUAAAGCGUGUGUAGGCGGAUCGUUAAGUACCUUGUGAAAUCCCACGGCUCAACCGUGGAACGGCUGGGUAUACUGGCGGUCUUGGGCCAUUCAGGGGCGACUGGAACAAGCGGUGGAGCGGUGAAAUGCGUAGAUAUCGCUUGGAACGCCGAAGGUGAAAACAGGUCGCUGGGGAUGUGCCGACGCUGAGGCGCGAAAGCCAGGGGAGCGAACGGG
rnacentral:rRNA from 1 species